UACCCUUGGUCAGGUUGAAGUUCAGGUAACACUGAAUGGAGGACCGAACCGACUUACGUUGAAAAGUGAGCGGAUGAACUGAGGGUAGCGGAGAAAUUCCAAUCGAACUUGGAGAUAGCUGGUUCUCUCCGAAAUAGCUUUAGGGCUAGCCUCAAGUGAUGAUUAUUGGAGGUAGAGCACUGUUUGGACGAGGGGCCCCUCUCGGGUUACCGAAUUCAGACAAACUCCGAAUGCCAAUUAAUUUAACUUGGGAGUCAGAACAUGGGUGAUAAGGUCCGUGUUCGAAAGGGAAACAGCCCAGACCACCAGCUAAGGUCCCAAAAUAUAUGUUAAGUGGAAAAGGAUGUGGCGUUGCCCAGACAACUAGGAUGUUGGCUUAGAAGCAGCCAUCAUUUAAAGAGUGCGUAAUAGCUCACUAGUCGAGUGACACUGCGCCGAAAAUGUACCGGGGCUAAACAUAUUACCGAAGCUGUGGAUUGUCCUUUGGACAAUGGUAGGAGAGCGUUCUAAGGGCGUCGAAGCAUGAUCGCAAGGACAUGUGGAGCGCUUAGAAGUGAGAAUGCCGGUGUGAGUAGCGAAAGACGGGUGAGAAUCCCGUCCACCGAUUGACUAAGGUUUCCAGAGGAAGGCUCGUCCGCUCUGGGUUAGUCGGGUCCUAAGCUGAGGCCGACAGGCGUAGGCGAUGGAUAACAGGUUGAUAUUCCUGUACCACCUAGUAUCGUUUUAAUCGAUGGGGGGACGCAGUAGGAUAGGCGAAGCGUGCUGUUGGAGUGCACGUCCAAGCAGUAAGGCUGAGUGUUAGGCAAAUCCGGCACUCAUAAGGCUGAGCUGUGAUGGGGAGAGGAAAUUGUUUCCUCGAGUCGUUGAUUUCACACUGCCGAGAAAAGCCUCUAGAUAGAUAACAGGUGCCCGUACCGCAAACCGACACAGGUAGUCAAGAUGAGAAUUCUAAGGUGAGCGAGCGAACUCUCGUUAAGGAACUCGGCAAAAUGACCCCGUAACUUCGGGAGAAGGGGUGCUCUUUAGGGUUCACGCCCAGAAGAGCCGCAGUGAAUAGGCCCAAGCGACUGUUUAUCAAAAACACAGGUCUCUGCUAAACCGUAAGGUGAUGUAUAGGGGCUGACGCCUGCCCGGUGCUGGAAGGUUAAGAGGAGUGGUUAGCUUCUGCGAAGCUACGAAUCGAAGCCCCAGUAAACGGCGGCCGUAACUAUAACGGUCCUAAGGUAGCGAAAUUCCUUGUCGGGUAAGUUCCGACCCGCACGAAAGGCGUAACGAUUUGGGCACUGUCUCAACGAGAGACUCGGUGAAAUCAUAGUACCUGUGAAGAUGCAGGUUACCCGCGACAGGACGGAAAGACCCCGUGGAGCUUUACUGUAGCCUGAUAUUGAAAUUCGGCACAGCUUGUACAGGAUAGGUAGGAGCCUUUGAAACGUGAGCGCUAGCUUACGUGGAGGCGUUGGUGGGAUACUACCCUAGCUGUGUUGGCUUUCUAACCCGCACCACUUAUCGUGGUGGGAGACAGUGUCAGGCGGGCAGUUUGACUGGGGCGGUCGCCUCCUAAAAGGUAACGGAGGCGCUCAAAGGUUCCCUCAGAAUGGUUGGAAAUCAUUCAUAGAGUGUAAAGGCAUAAGGGAGCUUGACUGCGAGACCUACAAGUCGAGCAGGGUCGAAAGACGGACUUAGUGAUCCGGUGGUUCCGCAUGGAAGGGCCAUCGCUCAACGGAUAAAAGCUACCCCGGGGAUAACAGGCUUAUCUCCCCCAAGAGUUCACAUCGACGGGGAGGUUUGGCACCUCGAUGUCGGCUCAUCGCAUCCUGGGGCUGUAGUCGGUCCCAAGGGUUGGGCUGUUCGCCCAUUAAAGCGGUACGCGAGCUGGGUUCAGAACGUCGUGAGACAGUUCGGUCCCUAUCCGUCGUGGGCGUAGGAAAUUUGAGAGGAGCUGUCCUUAGUACGAGAGGACCGGGAUGGACAUACCUCUGGUGUACCAGUUGUCGUGCCAACGGCAUAGCUGGGUAGCUAUGUAUGGACGGGAUAAGUGCUGAAAGCAUCUAAGCAUGAAGCCCCCCUCAAGAUGAGAUUUCCCAACUUCGGUUAUAAGAUCCCUCGAAGAUGACGAGGUUAAUAGGUUCGAGGUGGAAGCGUGGUGACACGUGGAGCUGACGAAUACUAAUCGAUCGAAGACUUAAUCAAUUUUUAAA
rnacentral:rRNA from 1 species